UACGAGGGGUGCUAGCGUUAUUCGGAAUUACUGGGCGUAAAGGGUGCGUAGACGGCGCAUUAAGUCUGUUGUUAAAUCCUCCGGCCUAACCGGAGAUCAGCGAUAGAAACUAGUGUGCUAGAGGAUGGAAGAGAGAAGUGGAAUUCUCGGAGUAGCGGUAAAAUGCGUAGAUCUCGAGAGGAACACCAAUGGCGAAGGCAGCUUCUUGGUCCAUUCCUGACGUUGAGGCACGAAAGCGUGGGGAGCAAACAGGAUUAGAUACCCUGGUAGUCCACGCCGUAAACGAUGAUCACUAGAUGUUAGUCCCGUUUUACGGGAUUAGUGUCGUAGCUAACGCGUUAAGUGAUCCGCCUGGGGAGUACGGUCGCAAGACUAAAACUUAAAGGAAUUGACGGGGGCCCGCACAAGCGGUGGAACAUGUGGUUUAAUUCGACACUACGCGAGGAACCUUACCUAGGCUUGACAUGCUUCUGACACCCGUAGAAACACGGUUUUUCGAGUUUACUCGAACAGUUGCACAGGUGCUGCAUGGCUGUCGUCAGCUCGUGUCGUGAGAUGUUGGGUUAAGUCCUUUAACGAGCGCAACCCUUUCUAUCAGUUGCUACUCACUUUGUGAGGCACUCUGAUGGUACUGCCUGGGAAACCAGGAGGAAGGUGGGGACGACGUCAAGUCAUCAUGGUCCUUAUGCCUAGGGCUACACACGUGUUACAAUGGCCAGCACAAUGGGUCGCUAGUCCC
rnacentral:rRNA from 1 species